rnacentral:hammerhead_ribozyme from 1 species
AUCCAGCCGACGAGUUCCAAAUAGGACGAAACGCGCGUCCUCCAU